UGGUCAAGUUAUUAAGGGUGCAGGGCGGAUGCCUUGGCACUAGGAGCCGAUGAAGGACGUGAUAAGCUGCGAUAAGCUUCGGGGAGUUGCACGUAAACUUUGAUCCGAAGAUUUCCGAAUGAGGAAACUCACUUAGAGUAAUGUCUAAGUAUCAUUAAGUGAAUACAUAGCUUAAUGAGGGGAACUCAGGGAACUGAAACAUCUAAGUACCUGAAGGAAGAGAAAGAAAUUCGAUUCCGUAAGUAGCGGCGAGCGAACGCGGAUUAGCCCAAACCAAUAAAGUUUUCUUUAUUGGGGUUGCGGACAUAUCAUAACGAAGAGGUAUCGUAAUUGAAGAGGUUUGGAAAGACCCACCACAGAAGGUAAUAGUCCUGUAUGUUAAACGAGAAGACUUCAGAUAUGAUCCAGAGUACCACGGGACACGUGAAACCCUGUGGGAAGCAGGAGGGACCACCCUCCAAGGCUAAAUACUACCUAGUGACCGAUAGCGUAUA
rnacentral:rRNA from 1 species